rnacentral:rRNA from 1 species
CACGUAGGAGGCAAACGUUAUCCGGAUUUACUGGGCGUAAAGCGCGUGUAGGUGGUUUGGUAAGUAGGGCGUGAAAGCUCCUGGCUCAACUGGGAGAGGCCGUUCUAAACUGCCGAACUAGAGGAUGGUAGAGGGGGUGGAAUUCCGGGUGUAGCGGUGGAAUGCGCAGAUAUCCGGAGGAACACCAGUGGCGAAAGCGGUCUCCUGGCCUGAUACUGACGCUGAGGCGCGAAAGCGUGGGGAGCAAACAGG